UACGUAGGGUGCAGGCGUUAAUCGGAAUGACUGGGCGUAAAGCGUGCGCAGGCGGUCGCUUAAGACAGGUGUGAAAUCCCCGGGCUUAACCUGGGAACUGCGCUUGUAACUGAGAGGCUAGAGUGUGGCAGAGGGGGGUGGAAUUCCACGUGUAGCAGUGAAAUGCGUAGAGAUGUGGAGGAACACCGAUGGCGAAGGCAGCCCGCUGGGCUAACACUGACGCUCAUGCACGAAAGCGUGGGGAGCAAACAGG
rnacentral:rRNA from 1 species